ensembl:lncRNA
GCUAUAUAUAUAUAUAUACACACACACACACACACACACAUUAUUUUUAUUAAAAUUAACAAAGAGAUCUGAUGGUGUUUUAUUUGUUCAGGACGGGCGUCUGAUAGCAGAUCCAUCAGAUCCUCAAACACUGAUUGUUCCUGUGACGGCUGUAAAAUCUGAUCGUCUCGUCACGUCUCACUGUGUGAAUCUGAAUCAUGAAAUCAUCUGUGAUUCUGCUGAUGGAGUAAAUCAACUUAAUCGCUCAACAUUCAUCUGUUUUCAUUAUCAGUAUCCUUAUGUUCGUUGGGUGAAAAAGAAAACCUCAAUAAACAAAGUAAAAAAGAAUUUGACUGAUAUCAUUCNUGAGAUAAACUCUGUGUUGAACUGAAUCUUGUGUGAAUCUUCAAGUGAAUCAGGAUGAUUGUGGAUGUGUUUUUCAGUGAGGAAUGAAACUGCAGCGACUCCAAACUCAGAUCUCCUGAAUGAAGUGAGUCCAGAUCUCCAACAUUCAGGUAAAACAUUAAGAGCGUGACAUCUGUGGAUGUGCUUCCUGAUAUUCUUUUCAUUAUGUUCAUAUAUCAGCUGAGUUCAUUGGUUCGUUUGUUUAUUUGUUCAUUCAGUCGAUCGGCUGAUUGUAUUUUCUAUCUCUUGUAUACAGUAGAUCACUUCUGGUGGCUUUUGGCUGUUUUCAUCAUUGUUCUUCUCAUCAUCUUCUUGAUCUGUUUGUUGAAGCGUAAAAGCAUUUUCAGAUGUUUUCAGAGGUUCAUCUGUCAGCGUGACGAUGAUGAUUCAGAAAACAGGGAUCCUGAAGCUGCUGUCCAAAUGAUCUGAUGCUCCUGAUUCACUGAAUCAAUCUCAGUGUGAAUCGACUCACGUCAUUUACUCAAACGUCACUGUGAUCUUUGACAUGAAGAUGAUGAAGGGAGUUUGCAUUCAUUCUGAGCUUCUCAACUCUUAUUUAUUCUCAUUCGUCCUCAAAUGUAAUGCAUAUGAUUACAUGAGAUAUAAAACACUGAAGCAUCUUACAAUCAAAAUGUGUUGCGUUUGUUUUGUACAUCAUUUAUCAGUUUAAUAAUUCAUGAUCAUUUCGUCAUUUACAUCUAUUCAUUCAAUCGUUUAUAUUGUUUUAUUAUGUUUUAGAUUAUUGUUAUUAGGUUGUUCAUCCUGGUGUUUUUCAUGCUUCAUGUAAUGUGUGUCAUCAUGAAUGAGACGAGGGUGAAUGUCUCCAGCUGCAGGGUUUUAAAGGAUGUCUUGUUAUACAGUAAUAACUCUUGCUGUAGGUUGUACUGAUCAGAUGAAGUCUGACUGAGCAGUGAAACAGACACAACUAAGGUUUUGCAGAGGAGCAGUCAUCUGAGUGUUCAAACUAAAAUCAGGUGGAAAGAACAGGGAGGAGAGGAAAAAUAAACAGAUGAAGUAUCAGAUUGGUGAUGUAUGU